GCGUGUGUGAUGAAGGCCUUAGGGUUGUAAAGCACUUUCGGCUGUGAAGAUAAUGACAGUAGCAGAAGAAGAAGCUCCGGCUAAAUUCGUGCCAGCAGCCGCGGUAAUACGAAUGGAGCGAGCGUUGUUCGGAAUCACUGGGCGUAAAGCGUGCGCAGGCUGUUGUGAAAGUUAGGAGUGAAAGCCCCGGGCUUAACCCGGGAAUUGCUUUUAAAACUACACAACUAGAGUACUGGAGAGGUUGGCGGAAUUCCGAGUGUAGCAGUGAAAUGCGU
rnacentral:rRNA from 1 species